CUCAUCUGUAUUGUUUUGUGCAAGAGUGAGCAAACAAUUUCCCACAAGAAGGAUAAUAUACAAUAACGUUUUAUGAAUGACAAUUAAUUGAGCUUUCAAUGGUAAAGUAUUCUUACCGGAACAAUAAACUUUAAUUCAACAGCUAUGAGUUCAAAGGAAUAAUGAACGUUUAAGUUAACAAUAGAUAACAACAUCAAAG
rnacentral:lncRNA from 1 species